rnacentral:rRNA from 1 species
CCCUUAGAUGUUCUGGGCUGCACGCGUGCUACACUGAUAUUGCCAAUAUGUCAUUCUUAUCCGAAAUGGAUUGGGUAAUCAAGUAAUGAAAUUUCAUGCUUGGAAUCGGUAAUUGCAAUUUUAUCGUGAACGAGGAAUUCCUAGUAAGCACUAGUCAUCAGCUAAUGUUGAUUAUGUCCCUGCCCUUUGUACACACUGCCCGUCGCUACUACUGAUUGGGUGUUCAAGUGAGAUGCUUAGACCCUUGUUGCAUGGUUCAUUAUUGUGCUCCGAAAGGAAAAAGUUUCAAGCUUGAGUGUCUAGAGGAAGUAAAAGUCGUAACA